rnacentral:lncRNA from 1 species
AAAAAAACUUUACAUAGCUUUAUUAACCACUUAUCAAGACUCAAAGCAUCAUUAUUGCCAAACACAUAAUUCAUUUGAAAAGGUCGUCAUGAAUCGACUUGAUGUACACAGAAAUAUUUGCCACUGGUUUUUACUUGAAAAACGAUUCACUCAUAAAUGCAUUACUAAAAAAAAAGUGUGAGGUAAAUUGUAUUGCUUGUCUAGUAUGUCAGAUCCAUUAAAACACACGUAGAAAUAAAAAAAAAAUCAUUACCCCCUCCCUUUGUCAAAUACUCCUUGGACAUGUGGAGAAGAAAUACCAUUUGAAAGAAACAGAAUAGAUAGAAAUGUAGUGAUCCUUAACAAAACAAUCCUUUAAGAACGCUGCUGCAGCCUACUUUUCUAAUGCGUAAAGGAGACAUCUUUAGUUUAAACUACUGCAAAUCAUCAAAAUGGCUUUUUUAAAGAAGCA